rnacentral:rRNA from 1 species
AUGUACAUAAUUGGGGUUAGGUUAGGCUUACGAAAGCAAUUAAAGCUAAGUUACUUUAAUAGCAACUUUUUGAAUUGUAGGAUGGCACCGUUCGUUUUCUUUGAAACUUCUACUGAGGCGGCGGCGAACCGUGAACGCGAAUUGAUUGAGGAAAAGAUAAAUUUGUGGAUCGAAGCCAUUGAUGCGUUGAAUGUGGAGUGUAGGGCCUUUUCAUAUAAUUAUUUCAAUAAAGACCGUUCCGAAAAUUUUAUAACAAAAAAGGAGAGGCUGAUGAAGAAGCUCAAGACAGCGGAAAAAAAUUGUAGGCGUGAUCUUGCAAUGCAAAUUACAUUGUGUUUGACAACGGGAGAAUAUGCUGAGAUAGACAUGGGCAAUCAUGGUCAGGUCAUUGAUUGGUUAGUUCGCCAACCAUUCUCGUCGGACGAGAACCGGGCUUCUCGUUGGGCAUGGGUCAAAGAAAGAAAUGAUGUUAUUUGUUGCAACCCGGGACCGUACGCCGCAUAG